UCUCCGUUGGUGAACCAGCGGAGGGAUCAUUACAGAGUUGCAAAACUCCCUAAACCAUUGUGAACGUUACCUAAACCGUUGCUUCGGCGGGCGGCCCGCGCCCCGUAAAACGGGACGGCCCGCCCGAGGACCCCUAAACUCUGUUUUUAGUGGAACUUCUGAGUAAAACAAACAAAUAAAUCAAAACUUUCAACAACGGAUCUCUUGGUUCUG
rnacentral:misc_RNA from 1 species